ACAGUUUAGUUGGUAGUGCAUGAGACUCUUACUCUCAGGUUUGUGGGUUCGAGCUCCAUGUUGGGUG